GAUGAACGCUGGCGGCGUGCCUAAUACAUGCAAGUCGAGCGAACAGAUGAGGACCUUGCGCCUCUGACGUUAGCGGCGGACGGGUGAGUAACACGUGGAUAACCUACCUAUAAGACUGGGAUAACUUCGGGAAACCGGAGCUAAUACCGGAUAAUAUAUUGAACCGCAUGGUUCAAUAGUGAAAGAUGGUUUUGCUGUUACUUAUAGAUGGAUCCGCGCCGCAUUAGCUAGUUGGUAAGGUAACGGCUUACCAAGGGAACGAUGCGUAGCCGACCGGAGAGGGGGGUCGGCCACACUGGAACGGAGACAGGGUCCAGGCGCCUACGGGAGGCAGCAGUAGGGAAUCUGACGCAAUGGGCGAAAGCCUGACGGAGCAGCGCCGAGUGAGUUGUGGAGGUCCUCGGAUCGUAAAACUCUGUUAUUGGUGAAGAACAAAUGUGUAAGUAACUAUGCACGUCUUGACGGUACCUAAUGAGAAAGCCCCGGCUAACUACGUG
rnacentral:rRNA from 1 species